GAACACCUUCCGGGCAAUGAAAUGUCUAGAGUUCUAAUCUAAAAUGGCCAACUCUAGAUUAUAAGAUCACUCAAUCAAGCAAGGAAAUAUAUUAAUCUACUCUAAAAUAUUCUAGAUCAUCACUUAAUCAUCCUAAUCAUCCUAGCCCAUGAAUCCAAAGAUGACUACUCACUCAUUAUCAUGGUAGACACUAAAUCAUUAGUUGAUCCAGAUCUAAACAUGAUUAAUGGUCAAAGUAGUCAAGCAAAGAUAAUAAAUUAUGAUCAAGAUUAGAUCUUUCACCCAAAAGUGGCUUUUUAUUAGAUAGAAAACAAAAUAAAUCCUAAUUUUAGGUUUAGAGAGUAUUUAUAGGACUUCUAAAAACCUAGUGGGCUCGGUCAAUAAAUCUGAGAAAGCCCAACAAAACAUAAAAACUCGAGUAAGUGGUAAAAGGCGAGCGGGUUGCUCAAGUCGCUCCGGCAGGUCGCUUUGUCUGGCAGCGGCUUCCAGGCCCCGCUCCAUGAGGUCGCUCUGGAUGUCGUCCGUUACACCAAGGAAUGCCGAGCGGGUUCGUCAUUCCGCUCUAGAUGGUCGCUCUGGAUUGCAGCGGGUUGGUUACCCCGCAACGGAGGGUCGCUCCAGCUCCUUGCUCCGUGUCUUCAAAGAAUGGCGAGCGGGUUCUUCUACCCGCUCCGGCUGGCCGCUCCAUGUUGUUCUAUGUAGAGCGGGUGCUCUAGGUUGCUGCGAGAGCCCGCUCUAAUACUCAACUCGUCCAAUGAUCAUAAUUCACCCCCUUUUUGGACCACAAUGUCUCCAAACUCCUCCAAAAACUCCAAAGGAUACUCCAACACCUAAUAAAGACUUAUGUAUGCAAAUGAAACCUAAAGAUGCCUAAAUACUAAUCUAAAUGAUUCAAAAUAUGCAAGAAUAAAUGACUAAAACAAUGCAAAUAUGCAAGAUAUCAAAACACACAUGCUAUCUAGGAUAGCUUAUAGUAUUUUUAGGAUGAGUUUCCAGAAAAUAAAAUGAGUAAGCAUAAUCCUUCACUUACUAAGUAAAGAAAUAUAAUCCAUUGAUUUUUAUUUAAUUUAAAAAUAAAAAACCGAUACGAUUCUAAGAGGAAUCGAAUGCGGGUUGAAACAAAUGUUUUAUUAAGUUUCGUACGAGAGGGGGUUUUGCCGCUAAGCCGAGGAGAAUCAUUUGGUAGUAGCUAAAACAUAAAUGUAUUUAACCGUAAAUUUUAUAUAAUAAAUGUUGGAAAGAAUUUGAAAUUUCUGGAUGAGUUUUCAGAAUAGUCGAAUAUCAGUGUGUUUCUUUCUAGCAAAGAAGUUUAAACUAAAAAUAAAUAAAUGAGAUCAAAAACUAAGGAUUGAUAUCUGCAUAUUUGGGAAAUUUCAAAUUGUGAUUUGGAAUUUUGGAGAAAAAAGAGAACAAAUAUACAUAUACCAAGAUUGGAACCCGAGAUCUCUGGGAAAGGGGGAAUAAAGUGUGGCCUAAGCCACUAGACCAAGUGUGUUUCAAUUGUUUGUUGAUGUAAGUAAAGGAGUAUAAUCAUUGAGUUUUAUUCAAUUAAAAAAUAAAAAAUCUAUAUGAUUCCAAAGGGAAUCGAACGCGGGUUGAGGCAUGUGUUUUAUUAUGUUUUGUAUGAGAGGGGUUUUAGCCGCUAGGUUGAGGAGAAUCAUCUGGUAGUAGCUAAAACAUAAAUUUAUUUGACCGUAAAUUUUAUAUUAUAAAUGUUGGAAAUAAUUUUGGAAUUUCUGGAUGGUUUUCCAGAUGAUUGAAUAUCAGUGUGUUUCUUUCUAGUAAAGAAGUUUAAAUUAAAAAAUGAAAUGAGAUCAAAAACUAAGGGGUGAUGUCUGCAUAUUUGGGAAAUUUCAAAUUGUGAUUUGGAAUUUUGAGAAAAAAAUGCAGUUAAACUUAAAUUGUAUGUUACAAAAGUUGGAAAGCAUCCAACUUAUCCAGGAUAGGCUUCCAAAAAAAUAAAUAUAUGUGGUCUACUUAAAUCAAGAAGGCUAUCCUGAUUAUGUACAAAAGCUUCCAAAAAGUUUUGGUAUAUGCUCAUGCACAUAUUUCUUAACCACAAAAAAAAUCUGAACAAGAUGAAGUCAAUCCAAAUGAUGCAAAUGAAACUCAGAGAUGUUGGAAGAGCACCAGAUGAAUUUUCUAGUAGUUUAGGAAGCUUUUGCACAUAUUCGUGAUUGUCUUCAUGAUUUUUUUAACAGGAGAAUGUACAAGUUGUGGAUGACACAAAUCACUCUCCAAUGUCUCCACCAAAUGCUGAUGAAAAUCAGAAAACUGAAUCUCAGCCAUUGACAGAAAAUCAAGUUAUUACUCUUAAUGUGAUACAACACUGGCACAGGGCAAUCAUAUGAGACGCCAUUAAAUCUAAAUCGAGGAAGAAAAAAACUUAGCGAUGAGACUGAUACGAAGAUCUUGGAAGAGACUCCAGAUGAAGCCAAUCAAAUACACAAAAUCUUCUAACUUAAGCAAAUCUUCAUAUCGAAGAUCUUCUUCUAAGUUAAUAAACGAUGCAGUCAUGUUCUUAUCCA